UCAGCCCCUCCCGCCGCGGAGGGCGCGGGUCUCGAUGCGCGUGCGCCGAGCGGGAGUGUGCUCUCUGCUGCACUGCGCCGGGGCAGCGGACCGCGCUGGGCGUGGGCGCCGCGGCCCGGGGGCGGGUCCCGGUCGGAAGCAGAUGCUGCUCUGCUCCGGCUACCAGGGCAAGGCUGCGCUCGGGUCAGCACCGAGAUCCCGCGCCGCAUAGGGCAGGGUCGGGACCCGGCCGAGGGCUUAGGGUGUGACCCCGGAGACCAAGGAUGCGUUCUCGCCUCGGUGCCUGUGCCUUGGGGAUACCCGGAGAAGCAAGGACAAAAAGUGGCUUCCUGGAAAAGCUUUUGUUAUGUGAUGCCCUCUUGCAGUUGAGCUAGGACAUUUUUAAAUCAUCGUUUUGACAAGGUCAAAGCCCCACACGGUUCCAUCUGCUGCAUUUUAAUAGAACUCUGGAAUUCUAAAGUGAAACCUUUUAAAAUGAAAGCUCUAGAGUGUGACCUAGAUAAAAAUGAUUAAAGCCGUCUUUAAGAGGAUUUUAGGGUUGGGAGGGGACUGAUAGAACAAUUGUAGAAAGGAUUUUCUGGUUUUGGCUACUAGGGAUUGUAAAUCUCGACGGAGCCUGUGCACAUUUAGCAGAGAGCGAUUGUCACACAGGACUGAUUAGAGAUUCUGCUAGUAACCCUCUCAAAACCAAAUCAGCUAAAGAUCACCGGGGUGGGGGUGGGGGGACGGGGGUAACCUGCAGUCGGACGAAACCAGAUUUGAUAGUAAAUCGGAAGACAUAACAAGGGAAAAAAGAAUAGGGGGAUGGAAGAGGAAACCCUUUUGUAAGGUUUGUGUUCCCGCCAAAAGAAUCUGAGGAGGGUCUAGGGAAAGCCGAGAUCCGUUCUGGAUUGGACAUCAUCGAUUCUAAAGAGGGUCUUAUUCUGUAUCCCUGAGUGUCCUGAACCUGGACAGAGAAGCUCCCCUGGAACUCCUAGAAACCCAUCUGCCUCUGCUUCUCAAGUACUGGGAUUAAAGGCAUGCUCCACCAUGAACCUUGAGAUAGGUCCUUAGGCCUUCAGGUAUGUUCUUACUAUGUGUCCCCUAGUAAGAACUUAUUCAUACUUCAGCCUUCCCAGUCAUGAAUUACAAGUAUGUGCCACCGCGUCCAGCUUUCGAUGGGAUCAUGUGGUAACCUUUCCAGGUGUCGGAUGAGGCUGAGUAUGCUGUAGGCCUUUUAAAGUGCUACUCUAGUCCUUUGGCAAGUGGGUCAUCCUAAUACAAUCUCACGUGGUAUAUACAACCUGGCACAGCCUCCUAUCCCUGUGCUCGACACCAAGCUGCUACCGAAUUGUCCCAACUUCUGGAGUUGUAUGCAGGCUUUGGGGUUUCUGAAGCUCCAUUCAGCUCCAGUGACUCUCUUUCUCUUCCUGCUGCCUGAAUCCAGAUGUCUCAGCUGACUGCCCCAGCACCAUGUCUGCCUGUGUGCCGCCAUGUUCCCCACUCCACAAGGAUAAUGGACUAAACUUCUGAAAUUAUAAGCCAGCCCCAAUGAAAUGCUUUCUAAGAGUUGCCAUGGUCAUGGUGUCUCUUCACGGCACUAAAACAAUGACCAAGGCAGUCUUUAACCUCACAAAGCCCAUCUCCAGUGACAUAUUUCCUCCAACAAGACCACACUUCCUAAGCCUCCACAAAUAGUGUCACACACAGUACCAACUGGGGACAGGGUGUUCAAGUGUACAAGUCUAUAGAGGAUGUUCUCAUUCAAAGCACCAGAGAAGGCUAUGAGCAUCUUAAAGCCUUUAAGUUUCCUUGAAUGAUUUUUUUCCAAACUCCCUUUAAAUUGAUAACAGCCACCAACAUGCUUGUUAUCAGCUGAUACAUUUGUGCAUAAUGACUCUUACGUUACAGUUAUAGAUGAAAGUGUUUCACAUUGUGUCAGCCCGAGUCCAGCGAUGAUGGAAAAAACACCAAUAACGUGAUAGGAAAAGCAGAGUAAAAAGAAGUAGCAAUGAGUGUAGACGUAGGAGACAAGAGGGAAAUCCCAGACUCUUGAGGCUCAUCAGGACUGAGAUGGACAUGUUUGGAGGAUGUGACAGUUAAUCUUCUUUUCAACGUGUUGGAACCACAGAAUCACCAUGAAAACACGCAUCCAGGCCAAGAUGCUCCAAGUCAAGGAAUCUGCAGAUUUGAUGCCUGGCAAUUAAGUGCCUAUUCCUUCCUACCAAGUACUUCAAGGGAAGAAACUGCCAUAUUCAACUCUGGAGCUGGAGAACCUUGUAUGCCAUAUACCAGUGAGUACAUGCAUGAAGCUCAUUUGCCAAUAUUUAUAAAGUUCCAGGCUGUCGUAUGUAUUAAUCACUAUGUAUUUUUAUUCAAUCACAGAAGAUACAGGAAUGAACCUGCUCAUUAUUCUCAGGAAGUUAUUCUGUGAAGGCAAGAUGACCAUAAAACAAUAAACAAUUAAUUAUGUAUUAUGCAGGCAAGUAGAGAUAAAUGCCUUGCAUAAGAUGAAGGAACUCAAUUUCCUUUACUUUUUUUUCUUCUUGCAUCUGUGCGUGUGUGUGUGUGUGUGUGUGUGUGUGUGUGUGUGUG
rnacentral:sRNA from 1 species